CGUUUGAUUCUAUUUUGUUGGUUUCUAGGAUCGACGUAAUGAUUAAUAGGGAUAGUUGGGGGCAUUAGUAUUCAAUUGUCAGAGGUGAAAUUCUUGGAUUUAUUGAAGACUAACUACUGCGAAAGCAUUUGCCAAGGAUGUUUUCAUUAAUCAAGAACGAAAGUUAGGGGAUCGAAGACGAUCAGAUACCGUCGUAGUCUUAACCAUAAACUAUGCCGACUAGGGAUCGGAUGAUGUUAAUUUUUUAAUGACUCAUUCGGCGCCUUACGGGAAACCAAAGUGUUUGGGUUCCGGGGGGAGUAUGGUCGCAAGGCUGAAACUUAAAGGAAUUGACGGAAGGGCACCACCAGGGGUGGAGCCUGCGGCUUAAUUUGACUCAACACGGGGAAACUCACCAGGUCCAGAA
rnacentral:rRNA from 1 species